CCUACGGGUGGCAGCAGUGAGGAAUAUUGGUCAAUGGACGAGAGUCUGAACCAGCCAAGUAGCGUGAAGGAUGACUGCCCUAUGGGUUGUAAACUUCUUUUAUAAAGGAAUAAAACGAGGCACGUGUGCCUUUUUGCAUGUACUUUAUGAAUAAGGAUCGGCUAACUCCGUGCCAGCAGCCGCGGUAAUACGGAGGAUCCGAGCGUUAUCCGGAUUUAUUGGGUUUAAAGGGAGCGUAGAUGGGUUGUUAAGUCAGUUGUGAAAGUUUGCGGCUCAACCGUAAAUUGCAAUUGAUACUGGCAGUCUUGAGUACAGUUGAGGCAGGCGGAAUUCGUGGUGUAGCGGUGAAAUGCUUAGAUAUCACGAAGAACCCCGAUUGCGAAGGCAGCUUACUAAACUGUGACUGACAUUGAUGCUCGAAAGCGUGGGGAGCAAACAGGAUUAGAUACCCCAGUAGUC
rnacentral:rRNA from 1 species